GCAUCUGAAUCUUUCCCACUCCUUGCGAUACAAUGCUGGACUGGGGACACAUGAUGCAACAGGAAAGCAGAGGAAAUCCAGACAAGCUCCCUUUCACCACAGUGGGACUUGUCUCUACGCCUUUGCAACAUUU
rfam:Pygoscelis adeliae contig106607, whole genome shotgun sequence.